UUUUAGUAGUAAUCGCAGUGGUAGCUUUUUUUAUCCGAAGAAAUUUUUACGGGAUCAAAAGGUUUCAAAUGAAAGAACUAUUCGGU
rnacentral:misc_RNA from 1 species